UGGCCGAAUGAUUACGAUGUCCGCUUUGUAAGCGGAUGAUCAUGGGUUCGACUCCUAU
rnacentral:tRNA from 1 species